UUCUUGAUCGUAUAACGGUUUAGUAUGCUCGCUUGUCAUUAGUAAUAGUGAUCGCGGGAGAUCGGGGUUCGAUUCCCCGUCAGGAAG
rnacentral:tRNA from 2 species